AACGAACGCUGGCGGCAUGCCUAACACAUGCAAGUCGAACGAGACCUUCGGGUCUAGUGGCGCACGGGUGCGUAACGCGUGGCAACCUGCCCUUAGGUUCGGAAUAACUCCCCGAAAGGGGUGCUAAUACCGGAUAAUGUCUUCGGACCAAAGAUUUAUCGCCUUUGGAUGGGCCCGCGUUGGAUUAGCUAGUCGGUAGGGUAAAAGCCUACCAAGGCGAAGAUCCAUAGCUGGUCUGAGAGGAUGAUCAGCCACACUGGGACUGAGACACGGCCCAGAAUCCUCCGGGAGGCAGCAGGGGUGAAUAUUGGACAAUGGGCGAAAGCCUGAUCCAGCAAUGCCGCGUGAGUGAUGAAGGCCUUAGGGUUGUCAAGCUCUUUUACCCGGGAUGAUAAUGACAGUACCGGGAGAAUAAGCUCCGGCUAACUCCGUG
rnacentral:rRNA from 1 species